rnacentral:rRNA from 1 species
AAGGUAGCAUAAUCAUUUGCCCUUUAAUUGGGGGCUAGUAUGAAUGGACUCACGAGAGAAAAGCUGUCUCAGUAUUAUUAGUAAAAAUUAGCAUCUGGGUGAAGAGACUCGGAUUUAAAUAAAGGACAAGAAGACCCUAUUGAGCUUUGCUUUUUUCUCUUUGUUUUAAGGGUGGAAGGGGCUUGAUUGGGGCGAUCAGGGAAUUUCCUAAACUUCCCUGGGUUUUUCGGCUUUCGUGCCUUAAUGGAUCUGAAAUUUUAUUUUCAAUUAAAGGAAGAAGCUACCAUAGGGAUAACAGACUAAUCCUCCUAGAGAGUUCACAUUGACAGGAGGGGUUGGCACCUCGAUGUUGGCUUAGGGCGUCCCUUUGGUGCAGGCGCCAAAAAAGGUAGGUUUGUUCAACCUGUAAGGCCCUACGUGAUCUGAGU